UACGUAGGGCGCAAGCGUUGUCCGGAAUCAUUGGGCGUAAAGAGCUCGUAGGCGGCCUGUUGCGUCCGCUGUGAAAUCCCGGGGCUUAACCCCGGGCGUGCAGUGGAUACGGGCUGGCUGGAGGCAGGCAGGGGAGAACGGAAUUCCCGGUGUAGCGGUGAAAUGCGCAGAUAUCGGGAGGAGCACCGAUGGCGAAGGCAGGUCUCUGGGCAUUAACUGACGCUGAGGAGCGAAAGCAUGGGGAGCGAACAGG
rnacentral:rRNA from 1 species